UAAUAGUUAAUAAUCUUUAAUACCCGAAAUAAGAAGAUCUAUUUAAGUUUAUUUUAAGUCGAAAGAAAGCAAAUAAGUAGUGUAGCAUAACUACUAAAGAAAAGUUAAAUAGGGGUGAAAGGCCUUCAAUUCUUAGGAUAGCUGGAUUUUGUAGAAAUUCAUUAAGUGAGUUAAUCUAAAUGGUUGGAGUUAAGUUCAACCAUAAGGACUGAAAUUUUUAUUUUCUUUAUUAAGGUGUAAAAAGCUAUUAUUUUCUAGUACACUCUAAUUAUUAUAUGAAAGAUCGUUGCUUAUAUACAAAAAUUAUUUAGAGUUAUGGAAAUAACUUUUAAUGUUUAAAUUAGUAUUUAUAUAAUCUAUUUUAAAGGAACUCGGCAAAAAUUUCUCCUCAACUGUUUACCAAAAACAUAGCGUGAUGAAUAAAUUUUUUUAUAUCAGGUGACUUCUGCCCAGCGAUAUUUUUAGCGGCCGCAGUACUUUGACUGUGCUAAGGUAGCGUAAUAAGUUGGCCUCUAAUUAGGGUCGUGUAUAAACGAAAUCAUGGGGAGGUUCUGUCUCUAAUUUAAAAUUAAUAAUUUGCUUAAUAGGUGAAAAUUCCUAUGAAUAAAAAAGAAAGACGAGAAGACCCUUAGAAUUACAGUAAAAAUAUUUAAUUAUUACGCUUUUGUUGGGGCAACAGCAUAGGAACAGUUCUAACCUUUGCAAAGUAUAUUUCAAGUGAGAGGUAUUUAUCCUGAAUUAUAUUAAUUACCUGAGGGAUAACAGCAUAAUUUCUAAUUAGAUUGUGACCUCGAUGUUGGACUAGGGAAAGCUUAUACUAGCCGUUUAAGCUUAUUGGUUCUGUUCGAACUUUAUUUACCUA
rnacentral:rRNA from 1 species